UGACGAAGCGACGCCGCGUGCGGGAAGAAGGCCUUCGGGUUGUAAACCGCUGUCGGGAGUUAAGAAAUGUAAGGACGUUAAUAGCGUUCUUGCUUGACUAAGGCUCCGGAGGAAGCCACGGCUAACUCUGUGCCAGCAGCCGCGGUAAUACAGAGGCGGCAAGCGUUGUUCGGAAUUAUUGGGCGUAAAGAGCACGUAGGCGGCCUUGUAAGUCAGUUGUGAAAGCCUUCUGCUUAACGGAAGAACAGCAUCUGAUACUGCAAGGCUUGAGUGCGGGAGGGGAGAGUGGAACUUCUGGUGGAGCGGUGAAAUGCGUAGAUAUCAGAAGGAACGCCGGCGGCGAAAGCGGCUCUCUGGUCCGUAACUGACGCUGAGUGUGCGAAAGCUAGGGGAUCAAACGGGAUUAGAUACCCCGGUAGUCCUAGCCGUAAACGAU
rnacentral:rRNA from 1 species